rnacentral:rRNA from 1 species
UACGUAGGGGGCGAGCGUUGUCCGGAAUCAUUGGGCGUAAAGCGCGUGUAGGCGGUCCGGUAAGUCGGCUGUGAAAGUCCAGGGCUCAACCCUGGGAUGCCGGUCGAUACUGCCGGACUAGAGUUCGGAAGAGGCGAGUGGAAUUCCCGGUGUAGCGGUGAAAUGCGCAGAUAUCGGGAGGAACACCAAUGGCGAAGGCAGCUCGCUGGGACGUUACUGACGCUGAGACGCGAAAGCGUGGGGAGCAAACAGG